rnacentral:rRNA from 1 species
GAUUGUACGCAAUCGAUACAACUUUCAACAACGGAUCUCUUGGCUCUCGCAUCGAUGAAGGACGCAGCGAAAUGCGAUACGUAAUGUGAAUUGCAGAAUUCAGUCGAUAUCAUCGAAUCUUUGAACGCACCUUGCGCCCCUUGGCAUUCCGAGGGGCACACCCGUUUGAGUGUCGNGAAUUUCUCAACCUCCUGCUGUUUCUUGAUAGCAGGAUGCUUGGACUUUGGAGGCGCUUGCUGGCCUCUCUUCAGAAGCCAGCUCCUCUUAAAUGGAUUAGCAGGGUCUGCCUUUGGCCGAUCCUCGACGUGAUAAGCUGCUUCUACGUCUUGGAUUCGGCUCCGCCUCAUUCUUUUGAGACCUGCUUCUAAUCGUCUCGGUUGCCCUUCGGGUGGACUUUGACCCACGAACCCUUUGACCUC